rnacentral:rRNA from 1 species
UACGAAGGGUGCAAGCGUUACUCGGAAUUACUGGGCGUAAAGCGUGCGUAGGUGGUUGUUUAAGUCUGCUGUGAAAGCCCUGGGCUCAACCUGGGAAUUGCAGUGGAUACUGGGCGACUAGAGUGUGGUAGAGGAUAGUGGAAUUUCCGGUGUAGCAGUGAAAUGCGUAGAGAUCGGAAGGAACAUCUGUGGCGAAGGCGACUAUCUGGGCCAACACUGACACUGAGGCACGAAAGCGUGGGGGAGCAAACAGG